rnacentral:rRNA from 1 species
UACAGAGGUCUCAAGCGUUGUCCGGAUUUAUUGGGCGUAAAGAGCGUGUAGGCGGCCAGGUAGGUCGGUUGUGAAAACUAGAGGCUCAACCUCUAGACGUCGACCGAAACCACUUGGCUAGAGUCCGGAAGAGGGUAGUGGAAUUCCCGGUGUAGUGGUGAAAUGCGUAGAUAUCGGGAGGAACACCAGUGGCGAAGGCGACUACCUGGCCUGUUCUUGACGCUGAGGCGCGAAAGCUGGGGGAGCAAACGGG